AUGGCCGUGAGAAUCCUCUCAUUGACAUCAAGUUUUUCAGUCUGUGAAAGGAAUUGGAGUACCUUCGAAAAUAUACAUACGAAGAAAAGAAAUAGGCUAACUACAGAACAUCUAAACUCUCUUGUGUUCAUACAAUUCAACUCGAGAAUGAUGGCCAAGAAACAAAUGAUCAAGGAGAAGAUCACUGAUGUCCUCUUAUCUGCUGAAACUACUGAAGCUCAAGGUUUUCUUUUUGAGGGCGGAGAUGAUUAUGCAGAAGUCAUCUAUAUGGACAAAGGUGAGGAGGAGAUGAAUAGUACAGGGAUGCCAGGGAAUGGCAUUGGAGAAGAAAUGGGAGGCGAUUAA
rnacentral:rRNA from 1 species